AUCAAUAAUUUUUUUGUUUUUUGAGUCUUAUCAUUUGUUUUUUUAUUUUAGUAAACAUGCAUGUAUCCAAGACUAUUGACCAUAUCGUUUUGAUUGCUAUAUAAUUUAUCUCAUUGUUUAAAAAGUACUAUUAACAAUCAAUAACAAUUUCCACUUAAAUUAAGUGUCUUUGAUAUGUCAAUCAAAUUACUUUGUCUUAUGCAAUAGGCAACUUAAUACAUACAUAUUUUGUGGAACUGCAAAAAGAUACCUUACUACGUGUGAAGCAAUUAGAAGAAGAUAAAGAUACAGUAACGUUUUCUUCACAAGCCACAAACGAUUUGUCCUACGAUGGCUAUCGUAUUUACCGUCGACGGAAUCGUGGGCCCACUUCCUACAGCUCCUACAGGAAGUGGGUCAACAAUAACGGAGUUGACAACUCCUCCUUUAAUUGGAAGGGAAGAAUGAAGGGAGUAAUUCUACUCCAGCUCUCUUUUAUACACCAUCUGAUAACUACUUAAAGAACGAAUAACUCUAUACCAGAUCUGUGACAUACAUCUGACAAAUACUUAAAAAACGAUUAAAUCUGCUUCACCUCUCUUUCAUAAACCAUCUGACAACUACUUAAAAAACGAAUAAUUCUACUCCAGCUCUGUUACAUACAUCAUCUGAUAACUACUUAAAAAACGAAAAAUUCUAAUCAUGCAUACAUCAUCGGAUGUCUACUUAAAAACAAAUAACUCUACUCCAACUCUGCUACAUACAUCAUCUGAUAGCUUAAGACACAAGUAACUAUGAAUAUUAUUAAGCAAAUAACAGGUCAUGAUUUUCAGAAAACGAAUAAUUCCACUCCAUUUUAAAUACUUCUCGUAACAUCACAGUCACGUGACUUAUGCAUUGUGAUUCUUUUUACUUAUA